UGCGAGUCAUUGUAGCAAUACAAGGCAGACGGCUCAGUAACGCGUAGUCAAUCUACCCUAUGGACGGGAAUAACCUCGGGAAACUGAGAAUAAUGCCCGACAGAACAUUAUACCUGGAACGAUUUAUGUUUCAAAUGAUUUAUCGCCGUAGGAUGGGACUGCGGCCUAUCAGUUUGUUGGUGAGGUAAUGGCCCACCAAGACUAUUACAGGUACGGGCUCUGAGAGGAGUAGCCCGGAGAUGGGUACUGAGACACGGACCCAGGCCCUAUGGGGCGCAGCAGGCGAGAAAACUUUGCAAUGUGCGAAAGCACGACAAGGUUAAUCCGAGUGGUUUCUGCUAAAGAAACCUUUUGCUAGUCCUAGAAACACUAGUGAAUAAGGGAUGGGCAAGUUCUGGUGUCAGCCGCCGCGGUAAAACCAGCACCUCAAGUGGUCAGGAUGAUUAUUGGGCCUAAAGCAUCCGUAGCUCGUUUUGUAAGUUUUCGGUUAAAUCCAUACGCUUAACGUAUGGGCUGCCGGGAAUACUGCAUAACUAGGAAGUGGGAGAGGUAGACGGUACUCGGUAGGAAGGGGUAAAAUCCUUUGAUCUAUUGAUGACCACCUGUGGCGAAGGCGGUCUACCAGAACACGUUCGACGGUGAGGGAUGAAAGCUGGGGGAGCAAACCGGAUUAGAUACCCGGGUAGUCCCAGCUGUAAACUAUGCAAACUCAGUGAUGCAUUGGCUUGUGGCCAAUGCAGUGCUGCAGGGAAGCCGUUAAGUUUGCCGCCUGGGAAGUACGUACGCAAGUAUGAAACUUAAAGGAAUUGGCGGGGGAGCACCACAAGGGGUGAAGCCUGCGGU
rnacentral:rRNA from 1 species